CCUGAAUUCGACGUUGAAACAUGGGUGGAAGCUCAAAGCAGCAAGCCGCUCUCACCCGGAGAAGGGUUCCUGCUUCACGACAGAGAAGCGUUCGUUAAUGUUCCAGGGGGAUGGAGCUGCGCAACGGAGCCAGUGAGCUGGUCGAAACACCCCGUCAAGCUGUUCCGGCACUGCCUGGACGCCUGCAAUGCAGCUAAGACAGAAUUCGCUGCUUUUGGAAAGGGCGGAUGCAGAUGCGGAAACGCCACAGCUGCCGGACCUGGCUUCCGGCCUCUACCAAUGUCGUUCUGCAACGAGCACGUGGAUGGAGUAGAAGCCUACUCAGUGCUGGCUGUGAUUACCUGGGGCAAAAUAAAGAAGACUGGCGCCACGCCUGCAAAACACUGGCUUUGGGCCAACAGAAGACCAAAAAGCAUCACCUGGAAUAAGGAGCCCAACAUGCCUUUCAUCGAGGAUUGCUGGCGCGCGUGUUUUGAAAAGGGCACCGCUACAUGGAUGUCCAUCGGAGUGACGGGCUGCGAAUGCGGGACAGCUGACAGCGCCGUAGUGGAAGAUGGCUUGGACUGGAAGAUCGCCUCACAACCCGAAUCUGACCAGGGCUACCCAGCAGCCCGCGGGUUCGUGUUGAUGAGCAAGAAGGAGGGCACACGAAAUUUCGUGCCCCACAAGUUCACCUGGAUACAGACAGCAUU